rnacentral:rRNA from 1 species
AUACGUAGGGGGCAAGCGUUGUCCGGAAUUAUUGGGCGUAAAGGGCGCGUAGGCGGCCAAUCAAGUCUGGUGUGAAAGUGCGGGGCUCAACCCCGUAAAGCAUUGGAAACUGGUUGGCUUGAGUGCAGGAGAGGAAAGUGGAAUUCCUAGUGUAGCGGUGAAAUGCGUAGAUAUUAGGAGGAACACCAGUGGCGAAGGCGACUUUCUGGACUGUAACUGACGCUGAGGCGCGAAAGCGUGGGGAGCGAACAGGAUUAGAUACCCUGGUAGUCCACGCCGUAAACGAUGAGUGCUAGGUGUAGAGGGUAUCGACCCCUUCUGUGCCGCAGUUAACACAAUAAGCACUCCGCCUGGGGAGUACGGCCGCAAGGUUGAA